GUGGGUAUAGCUUAGUUGGUUAAAGCGCCGGAUUGUGAUUCCGGAGAUCGCGGGUUCAAGUCCCGUUACCCACCCC
rnacentral:tRNA from 1 species